UACGGGGGGGGCAAGCGUUGUUCGGAAUUACUGGGCGUAAAGGGCGCGUAGGCGGCCCGCUAAGUCGAACGUGAAAUCCCCAGGCUCAACCUGGGAACUGCGUCCGAUACUGGCAGGCUUGAAUCCGGGAGAGGGAUGUGGAAUUCCAGGUGUAGCGGUGAAAUGCGUAGAUAUCUGGAGGAACACCGGUGGCGAAGGCGGCAUCCUGGACCGGUAUUGACGCUGAGGCGCGAAAGCGUGGGGAGCGAACAGG
rnacentral:rRNA from 1 species